rfam:Escovopsis weberi scaffold00002, whole genome shotgun sequence.
AGCAACAUAGCUCAGUGGAAGAGCGACGGGCUCAUAACCCGUAGGUCCCUGGAUCGAGACCAGGUGUUGCUA